rnacentral:rRNA from 1 species
AGAAUCAACGCUGGCGGCGUGCCUAACACAUGCAAGUCGAACGAGAAAGUGGGAGCAAUCCCACGAGUAAAGUGGCGCACAGGUGAGUAACACGUGACUAACCUACCCUUGAGUGGGGGAUAACCUAGGGAAACCUGGGCUAAUACCGCAUAAUACCUACGGGUCAAAGGAGCAAUUCGCUUUAGGAGGGGUCGCGGCAGAUUAGUUAGUUGGCGGGGUAAUGGCCCACCAAGACAGUGAUCUGUA